rnacentral:rRNA from 1 species
CUACGGGUUGCUGCAGUGAGGAAUUUUGCGCAAUGGGGGGAACCCUGACGCAGCAACGCCGUGUGAGUGAAGAAGGCCUUUGGGUCGUAAAGCUCUGUCAACUGGGAAGAAGUUACUGUGCUUUAAUAGAGUGCAGUAUUGACGGUACCAGUGGAGGAAGCGUCGGCUAACUCCGUGCCAGCAGCCGCGGUAACACGGGGGACGCAAGCGUUAUUCGGAAUUAUUGGGCGUAAAGGGCGCGUAGGCGGUCUUGUCGGUCAGGUGUGAAAGCCCGGGGCUCAACCCCGGACGUGCACUUGAAACAGCAAGACUUGAGUACGGGAGAGGAAAGCGGAAUUCCUGGUGUAGAGGUGAAAUUCGUAGAUAUCAGGAGGAACACCGAUGGCGAAGGCAGCUUUCUGGACCGAAACUGACGCUGAGGCGCGAAGGCGUGGGUAGCGAACGGGAUUAGAUACCCCUGUAGUC